rnacentral:rRNA from 1 species
AGUCGAGCGGAUGACGGGAGCUUGCUCCUUGAUUCAGCGGCGGACGGSUGAGUAAUACCUAGGAAUCUGCCUGAUAGUGGGGGACAACGUUUCGAAAGGAACGCUAAUACCGCAUACGUCCUACGGGAGAAAGCAGGGGACCUUCGGGCCUUGCGCUAUCAGAUGAGCCUAGGUCGGAUUAGCUAGUUGGUGAGGUAAUGGCUCACCAAGGCGACGAUCCGUAACUGGUCUGAGAGGAUGAUCAGUCACACUGGAACUGAGACACGGUCCAGACUCCUACGGGAGGCAGCAGUGGGGAAUAUUGGACAAUGGGCGAAAGCCUGAUCCAGCCAUGCCGCGUGUGUGAAGAAGGUCUUCGGAUUGUAAAGCACUUUAAGUUGGGAGGAAGGGCAGUAAGCUAAUACCUUGCUGUUUUGACGUUACCGACAGAAUAAGCACCGGCUAACUCUGUGCCAGCAGCCGCGGUAAUACAGAGGGUGCAAGCGUUAAUCGGAAUUACUGGGCGUAAAGCGCGCGUAGGUGGUUCGUUAAGUUGGAUGUGAAAUCCCCGGGCUCAACCUGGGAACUGCAUCCA